rnacentral:lncRNA from 1 species
CUGGUUUAGCUACACUGAGUUUCUUGGUUUUAUGCAUAGAUGUCUUUGCUGGGUUUUCAAAUACUGUCAUUUUGCACCCAUUUUUCAGUUCCUUCCUCUUUUGUCAACUACUUUUCUGACACUCCAAUUACAGAUAAGCUGUUCUGUUAGAUAUUUUCCAACCUGACUGCUCUUGUUUGUGUGUUGAAAAUCUGAGACUUAUUUUACACAACUUCCAUCAGCUUACUUUCCAGCUACCUGUCUUAUCAUCUACUCCAUCUAGUUUGCUUUUAUUUUAGACUCCCCUGUGUUUACCUAACUUUGUUGACUUUGUAAAGAGGAGAAUCUUUCUGUGUAUCAAUUUAUGUAUAUUUACCACUCUACAUAUUAUUACUCCUGAAGGAAUUAAUGUUCUUUGUGUUUUUAUGUAUCCUGAGGAAAACCAACACACUGAGAAGUCAUAAUGUUGCUCCUGUACAUUCUUAUAAGUUUCUAAAUUCAUGAGCCAGAAGUAUUGACAUGAAUAUCUACCUACAACUAUGUCUGAGAGGUCUUAUGCAAAGACAGGUAUGCAGUAGUUCCCCUGGUCCAUGGUGGAUACACUUCAUUAGUGCCAUUAAAUACCUGAAAACAUGGAUUGUGCUAAACCUUUAUGUUGACAAUGUCUCUUCUAUCUAGGUAAGUUUUUUGUAAAAUUUAAUUAGAAAUUAGGCACAAAAUAAAUUAACACUACUAACUAAAAAUA